rnacentral:lncRNA from 1 species
CUUCAUUACUUUUUUUUUCCUUUUUGUUCCUUAUACUAAAUACUUUCAACUAUCCUAUCUUUGGAUUUUCUGAUCCUUUCUGCUUCCUGUUCAAAUAUGCUAUUGAGCACUUAUCAAUGAAAGUAGCAAUCAGAAAUAACACGUAACCUCAAUAUUUGGAGAACCAUGUCCUCAAUGCUAACCUUGGCUCUAGAAAGCUACAUUAAGAACACAGACAGCAGUCCCUUGGCUCCCUACUAUAAUGAGGUGUGAAGAUGGUAGCCACUGCUGAAUAGGAAAGCUAAAGCUCACUGAGAUCAACUUUUCACCUAGACUCCAGAGUAUCAAAUUAUUUACUUUAGAGAGUUUCUGUCAGUUCAAUAGUUGUUUAAGUGGAGGUAGAGAUUCCAGGAGCUUUCUACUCUGCCGUCUUCUCUGACAUCACUCUUGCUUGAUAUAUUUUGAAGUGGAGUUAUUAACUUUAUAGUUAUUAACUUUAUAGAGCUUUAAAAUUCUUUCCACCUCUAAUUUUAAAAUCCCUAUUUUCACAGUUCUUACAAGUCACAGAAGGCAUUGGCUUACUCUCUGAUCAUUGUCCUGCUGUGAAUGUUAAGGUAAUUAUAGAUGCCAUUCAGCAGAAUGUAGCAACUGCUGGGUUUCUCUCUUCUUAUGCAUAUGGAGGUUCCCAGGCUAGGGGUCUAAUCAGAGUUGUAGCCACCAGCCUAUGCCAGAGCCACAGCAAUGUGGGAUCCGAGCAGCGUCUGUGACCUACACCACAGCUCAUGACAAUGCCAGAUCCUUAACCCACUGAGCAAGGCUAAGGACUGAACUUGCAAUGUUAUGGUUCCUAGUCAGAUUCAUUAACCACUGAGCCAUGACAGGAAUUCCCAUGAGGGCAGUUGUUUUCCAUGUAACCACAGCUCUCUGAUUCUCUGAUUGAUUUAAGGAGAUAAUGUUGAUUUUUAGUUUUUUCAGCCUUUUUUUUUUUUCCUGUAUAGAUGGGAGCAAUGAUUUCUAUGCCUCUUAUUUCCUACCGGACAUCUGAAGUCUUUGAAGUCUUUUAGAAGGUAGUUUUCUCUGUUAGGUCGUGAUGAUAAAUUUAUAUACCUUACAGAACAGAAUAGAAGUCUCAGGUUAGGUCUCAACUAUAAAAUUUAGAUAUCCAUGAGUAUUUCUGAGUAGAAGAGGAUAGACCAAUCAAAAAACCUUAUUGGGAGGUGGGCACUGAUUUGAAAAAGGCCAAAGGCAAAAAAAGUUGUGUUAAAAAAGGAAGGAUGAUUAAUAAAAAUCUUUUGUCAUUUAAUGGUAAGCUUCAUCUGGGACAGAGCCUUGUCUUUUUGCUUGCCAUUGUACCACCAGAAUCUAGGUCAGUGCCUAUGAAUAGAAAGUAUUCAACAAACACCCAACAAAUGGGUGAUUAUGGUUCAAUGUAAGUGGAAUUAGCACACCACAUAGUGUCUCCCCUACUAAAUGUAAAUAUCAAAUCUGGACAGAAUGCAUCCAACAGCUACUUAAAGACUCUAAAAACUAUCUAGUAGGAGCUACCAUUGUGGUACAGUGGAAAUGAGUCUGACCAGUAUCCAUGAGGAUGCAGGUUCGAUCCCUGGCCUCACCCAGUUGGCCGGGAAUCUGGUAUUGCCGUGAGCUGUGGUGUAGAUCGCAGAUGUGGCUCAUAUUCCAAGUUGCUAUGGCUGUGGCAUAGGCUGGCAGCAGUAGCUCUGAUUUCACCCCUAGCUUGGGAACUUAUAUAUGCCUCAGGUGUGGGCCUAAAAAGCAAAUAAAUAAAAGAAAAACUAUCUAGUAGAAGGAAUCAUAUUGAGAACACCAGAAUUCAAGUUACCACCAAAUCAACCAGUGUUGAAUUUACAUCUCCUCCAACCUGCAGUAUCGGUACCCAGAAUACAACAUACCUAGAAACCUGUAUUGAGCAUCCCUUAGGGCAGAGACAGAGAGAGCUCCAGGAGAGGCAGUCUAGCUCUGGUUUGAGUAGGAAAAUGAGCUCCUAACACAGAGGGAGAAUAUGAAAAUACUCCAUUCUCUUCUGGUAUGCCUCAGACCUCAGGCAAUCUCAAGAUGGCAGGGCUGUGGCAACUAUGACACCUAAUAGCUGAAAUCCUGAGGGAGGUGAACCAUCCUCUCCAUUUGAUACAGCUGUGAUUCUAAGAAGGUGGACCAAACCCUUUGCUUUUUCUUUCCUCCUUGCUCUCUUUCCUCCUGCUUCACUGUCUUACAGAUGCAGCCACCAUUGAGAAGUCCAUAGUAGAGUGAGGAAAUUACAGUCACAAAUUUCUGGCUGGAGGCUAGAAAAAAGAAGCAUGGCUUUGAGUAUAUUUACACAAGGAUUUUCACAAAAGAUAUAAUUCUUUUAUACAAAACAAUUUAGUGGUAUCUAAUAGCAUAAUUAAUAAGAACUCCUCAGACGUAUGUCCAUGCUAAUCUAGCAGGAAUCUAGCUAGUUAAAACAGGUACAUGGACUCAGAGGUAAAUGAAUGAAGAGGAAGGAACUUUGUAAAGACAACUCUGAAUCUUAUUAGUAAACUUCUGGACUCCCCACCACCCCCAAACAGACAUAAACACAUACACACAUACAAGCUGUGCAUACUUACACCUUACCCCAAUUAAGGUACCAAAGACAUGAAACAUAAACUCUUCACAAUGGAACAUUGCCCAAAUUUCAGAUUGGCCACUGGUUGAUGCACUUGCAAGAAAUAUCUACUAAGUGAAGUAAGUCAGACAAAGACAAAUAUCAUAUGAUAUCAAUUAUAUAUGGAAUGUAGUAAAAAUGACACAAAAGGAUGUAUUUAUGAAACAGAAACAAACACAGAUUUUGAAAUCAAACCUAGGGUGACCCCAAGGGGAACCGUGGUGGGGAGAGAUAUAUUGAGAGGAUGGGAUUAACACAUAUACAGUACUAAUAUAAAAUAGAUAGAUAACUAACAAGGACCUACUGAGUAGCACAGGAAGUUCUACUCAACGUUCCGUAAUAACUUUUUUCCAAUUUAUGGAAAAAAGUAUGGAUAUAUGUAUAUGUAUAACGGAUUCAUUUCACUGUACACCUGAAACUAAUACAACACUGUAAAUAAAAAUUUAU